GCCGAUUUAGAAUACGUAAUAGAAAACAUUUCAGCAUUUAUGGCCCUCUUUUUGUGUGUGUCGUCCGCCCAACCAUCCAUAGUCAUCUCCUGUCAUAAAAGGCGGCAACAGGUGGACAAUUACCUACGUAGCAACGAUAAUAACAACUAUGAAACAUGCGUUAAUUGCUCAGAGACUGGGAUGCUGCGGCUGCUGAUCCUAUGGGUGCUACUUGCGGCCUGGGGGCACACGGUGACAAAAUUAAACUUAAUUGUUUUAUGGCAGGCCUGCACCGCUGUGAGGCACUGUAAAGUUCGGUUUCGGUUUGUGUAGCCUAUGGAUCUACCAGAUGGAUGAAUGGAUGGAUAGACUUGUGAGUCAAAGCAGGAAUCACAGUCACCGACAGUAGCUUGGAAAGCGGAGAGCGGCAAAAACAGUUGACAUUUUUUAGGGUCUUUAACUUCUUUUCUUUCUUUUGUUUUUUUCCUCCACUUUUUUUGUUUAAUCGUUUUUCUUGUAAACUAUUUUUGUUGCUUGGUGCUUUUUUCUUCAGUUUGUUGCAGCUCCAAUUUUAUAAUAUUUAUUAAAAAAUGUUUACCCAGAAGUCGAGAUUUUGUGUAAGGAACCAGAUGACAGCAGGUGCUCUGGCCUGCUCUAUGGGUUAUGGACCCCAGAUUAUGAAGGCGGACGUCGACCGGAGCACAUUUCUAUCAUUUGUUUGUUUUUUUAAGAAAACCCAAGGGAGUGUCUCUUUAGUUUAAUGAAAGGAAAAGGUUGACGAGUAUUUGUGGAAAUGAUUUAGUUGACUACACUCCCCGACUAUCCGAUUUUUCCACUUCUACCCAGAAUAAUUGUUGUUUGUUAUGUGUUUUAGAGGUAUCUAUUAGGUAUCUUACUUGCAUUUUGCAUUGCAUCUAUAAUGGAUCCCCAAACACUUUGGGGUUUUAGCUUACCGUCUGGAAUAUAUUUGGCUUUUAAAUGCACCAAUUAUGAUUUUUUUGCGGUAUUUUGAUUUCUAAAACUAAGUAAAAAUUAUUAUACCCGGUACUCGAAGAGUAAAUAGGGAAGAAGAAAUGUAUUUGCAGUGGAUAAACCCACCCCGUCCCGCAGCAUUUGUUGUUUUAUUCACAUUCUCUCAUUCGCACUCUGCUUCGCGCAGUGUGCGACCUCUGCCUCUGCCUC
rnacentral:lncRNA from 1 species